GAUGAACGCUGGCGGUGUGCCUAAUACAUGCAAGUCGAGCGGACGCACGGGAAGAUCUCUUCCCUGCUGUUAGCGACUGACGGACGAGUAACGCAUACAUCACCUUCCUCUUUUACUUGGGUAACUUCGGGAAACCGCUGCUACUAACGGCUCAUAUUUUCUACCGCCUGGUUCAAAAGUGCUAGACGCUUUUGCCGUUACUAUUAGAUGAUUUCGCGCUGCAUUAGCUAGUUGGUAAGGUCACGGCUUACCAAGGCUACGAUGCAUAGCCGACCUGAGAGGGUGAUCGGCCACACUGGAACUGAGACACGGUCCAGACUCCUAGGGGAGGCAGCAGUAGGGAAUAUUCGACAAUGGGCGAAAGCCUGACGGAGCAAUGCCGCGUGAGUGAUGAAGGUCUUCGGAUUGUAAAACUCUUUUAUUAGGGAAGAACAUAUGUGGAAGUAACUGUGGACAUCUUGACGGUACCUAAAGAAUAAGCCACGGCUAACUACGUG
rnacentral:rRNA from 1 species